rnacentral:lncRNA from 1 species
CUGGCUUUUCCACACACGCGUUGAUUGAUCAUGAUUUAGCUCAUGUACAACCAGCUGCUUCUCAUUAUUCCAGUGUUAACAAGUUUCCGUAUGCUGCUUCCAUAUGCUACAUGGCUUUCAAAAAAUCUGAGGCAGUAACUUCUCUAAAAGGCAUGACCAGGACUAAUCCUCUACAGCUCAUGAAAAGACAGAACACGAAUGAACAGGAGUUUGUCUCCACUCCACUUCUUUCUGCUACCUGGAGAGAUGUGUGUACAAGCAAUAUCUAGCACUUGCUGCUCUUCUUGCUCCCAUAUAGCAAAAGUUCUAACCUUCACUGUUCAGGCUUUCCCAAAGAGAUGGAUAAAGCUGAUUUGGAAGCUACAGGAAAUAAAGCAUGCACAGAGCAGAGAUGAACAGCUCCUCUGCAGAAACAGAAGUAUAGCUACGUGGCUUCAGAUAUGUUGGGCACUUUCUGUUUUACAACAGAUGAUACCAGCUAGACAUCCCUACUUAUCUGGAGACAGAUAAAUGUCUGGGGAUACAUGGAGAGAAAAGGCACAGUGGGCAAACUACUUUCUGUUCAAGUCUUAUUGCUGACCAGGCUGGACGGGGCUUUGAGCAACCUGGUCUAGUGAGAGGCGUGCCUGCCUAUAGCAAGGGGGUUGGAAUUAGAUGAUCUUAAAGUUCCUUUCCAACCCAAACCAUCCUAUGAUUCUACGUUCUCACCGUAAUUUUUCCGGGAAUUUUGUUGCACAGUGGCUCAAAGUCAGUCAUUUAUUAACUGUUCAGCUGUAUCAGCGUUUCUGGGGUUCAUGUUCCAAUUUAAGAGAUUAUUUUGUUUCAUCCAAGAGAAUUCCAGACCAUGCACCUCAAUGACAUUCCAGAAAAGAACAGCAACCGGGAACAGUUGGGACUUGUGCUUCAAAAUCUUUUUCAGAAUGUGAGCUAGAACAAUGAUGAUGUAGCGUAAUUUUGGUUUAUGAUGGGUUUCUUCACCAUCUCUAUUACUUCCCCUUCCAUGGGGAACAUUGCUAGCAGUCCUCAUAUCUUGCUUUUAUUCACAUGUAAAUAAAUAAAUAAAUAAGGUACA